AAUGAACGCUGGCGGCAGGCCUAACACAUGCAAGUCGAACGGAUCCUUCGGGAUUAGUGGCGGACGGGUGAGUAACGCGUGGGAACAUACCCUUUGGUACGGAAUAGCCUCGGGAAGCUGGGAGUAAUACCGUAUGUGGUCGAGAGACGAAAGAUUUAUCGCCAAAGGAUUGGCCCGCGUUGGAUUGGGUAGUUGGUGGGGUAAUGGCCUACCAAGCCGACGAUCCAUAGCUGGUUUGAGAGGAUGAUCAGCCACACUGGGACUGAGACACGGCCCAGACUCCUACGGGAGGCAGCAGUGGGGAAUUUUAGACAAUGGGGGAAACCCUGAUCUAGCCAUGCCGCGUGAUCGAUGAAGGCCUUAGGGUUGUAAAGAUCUUUCAGGUGGGAAGAUAAUGACUGUACCACCAGAAGAAGCCCCGGCUAACUCCGUGCCAGCAGCCGCGGUAA
rnacentral:rRNA from 1 species